rnacentral:rRNA from 1 species
GAUGAACGCUGGCGGCGUGCCUAAUACAUGCAAGUCGAACGAGGUGCUUUUGUAGCAAUACGAAAGUAUCCUAGUGGCGAACGGGUGAGUAACGCGUUGGUGACCUACCCCAAAGUGUGGGAUAACAGUCCGAAAGGAUUGCUAAUACCGCAUGUGGUUAUCGGGCUUAGAAACUGAUAACUAAAGGAGCAAUUCGCUUUGGGAGGGACCUGCGUCCCAUCAGCUAGUUGGUGAGGUAAUGGCUCACCAAGGGCUACGACGGGUAGGGGACCUGAGAGGGUGACCCCCCACAAUGGAACUGAAACACGGUCCAUACACCUACGGGUGGCAG